rnacentral:rRNA from 1 species
UGGGGAAUAUUGGACAAUGGGCGCAAGCCUGAUCCAGCAAUGCCGCGUGUGUGAAGAAGGCCUUCGGGUUGUAAAGCACUUUUAUCGGGAGCGAAAAGCGGACGGUGAAUACCCGUCCGUGCUGACGGUACCCGAGGAAUAAGCACCGGCUAACUUCGUGCCAGCAGCCGCGGUAAUACGAAGGGUGCAAGCGUUAAUCGGAAUUACUGGGCGUAAAGCGUGCGUAGGCGGUUCGCUAAGUCUGCCGUGA